GAUGACUGUAAGUCUUCUUGUAGUUGCUAUUGUAUUUUACAUCAAGGAUAAUAUUUCACAUGACUCUGACUUGUAUGACAUCUUAAGUAUGGUGUCCUUGGUUGGUGUCAUGGCUUAUGUCAUUGCCUUAUCCUUCGGUAUGGGUGCCAUUCCUUGGAUCAUAAUGUCUAAGGUAUAGUACCUUAAUGCACAGCGAAGAUAUAUCAAUACAUGCCUUUCUCCCAGUUUUAGGUUUCCGCUGAAGAGCACUGUUCAGAUCCAUAAUUCUAGAGCAAGUGCUCUUAGUAAUAUAGGCUUUAAAGCAAUCUGAAGGUUUACUUCAAACUUUGCAUUUUUGUAAAUCCUCCAGUUAGCAUCAAGAGUCUUGCAGGAAGCUUCGCGACCCUUGCCAACUGGUUGAGAUCCUUUGGAAUAACAAUGACGACAAAUUUGCUGAUCAGCUGGAGUGCUAGAGGUAUGUAUAGAUUUGUGCAGCUUAUCUCGUGUAUAGAAUAGGAGAACCAUCAGACCUUACACAGGUUACCCUUGUUUCCAAACUAUACAGGUACGUUUACCUCCUACAUGAUUGUGAGUGCCUUCACUCUCGUGUUCGUAAUCGCUUGGGUGCUAGAGACAAAGGGAAGAACCCUCGAAGAGAUACAAUGGUCGUUUCGCUGAGCACCAGCAUCGUCAAAAUGCGAAAUGGUUCUUCGAGUUUUGUCGCUUUAGAUACUCAAAUCACUCGAUGAAGGUCACACAUUCUUUCUGUUCAUAAAAGGUCUUGUACAUGAGAUUGCAUACACCGUUGUUUUAACUUUACACCAAUAGACUUGUAAAUGCUUGUGCAGUAACUCUUAUAUUACUUUUUCUUCAACAUUGUAAGAUAGAAGAUUGUUGCCAAAAUAAAAUCUGAACCUUGGGUCCAAUAUUCCAUGUAAACACGAGCAUGUUUCCUGAUCAAUCAAAA